CACGUAGGGCGCAAGCGUUGUCCGGAAUUAUUGGGCGUAAAGAGCUCGUAGGCGGUCUGUUGCGUCCGCUGUGAAAACUCGGGGCUUAACCCCGAGCCUGCAGUGGAUACGGGCAGACUAGAGGUAGGUAGGGGAGAAUGGAAUUCCUGGUGUAGCAGUGAAAUGCGUAGAUAUCAGGAGGAACACCGAUGGCGAAGGCAGGUCUCUGGGCUGACACUGACGCUCAUGCACGAAAGCGUGGGGAGCAAACAGG
rnacentral:rRNA from 1 species